AUUGAACGCUGGCGGCAUGCCUUACACAUGCAAGUCGAACGGUAACAGGUCUUCGGAUGCUGACGAGUGGCGAACGGGUGAGUAAUAUAUCGGAACGUGCCCAGUCGUGGGGGAUAACGCAGCGAAAGCUGUGCUAAUACCGCAUACGAUCUAUGGAUGAAAGCGGGGGAUCGCAAGACCUCGCGCGAUUGGAGCGGCCGAUAUCAGAUUAGGUAGUUGGUGGGGUAAAGGCCCACCAAGCCAACGAUCUGUAGCUGGUCUGAGAGGACGACCAGCCACACUGGAACUGAGACACGGUCCAGACUCCUACGGGAGGCAGCAGUGGGGAAUUUUGGACAAUGGGCGCAAGCCUGAUCCAGCAAUGCCGCGUGCAGGAUGAAGGCCUUCGGGUUGUAAACUGCUUUUGUACGGAACGAAAAGGCUCUGGUUAAUACCUGGGGCUCAUGACGGUACCGUAAGAAUAAGCACCGGCUAACUACGUGCCAGCCGCCGCAGUAACAC
rnacentral:rRNA from 1 species